rnacentral:rRNA from 1 species
AGAGAGAGACAUGCGCGCAUAUCAAUAAGCGGAGGAAAAGAAACUAACAUAGGAUUCCCUCAGUAACGGCGAGUGAAGCGGGAAGAGCUCAAAUUUGAAAUCUUCAAGGUUCUACCUUGACGAAUUGUAGUUUAAAGAAGUGUUUUCUGUUGAAGUUUUGGUAAAAGUUCUUUGGAAUAGGACAUCAUAGAGGGUGAGAAUCCCGUAUUUGACCAUUAUUUCCAGCUUUGUGAUACACUUUCAAAGAGUCGGAUUGUUUGGGAAUGCAGUCCAAAAUGGGUGGUAAAUUUCAUCUAAAGCUAAAUAUUGGCGAGAGACCGAUAGCGAACAAGUACCGUGAGGGAAAGAUGAAAAGAACUUUGAAAAGAGAGUUAAACAGUACGUGAAAUUGUCAAAAGGGAAGCGUUUGACACCAGUGUUGUUUUCUCGAAAAUCAAUUAAAAAAGGCAGGAUUUUGUGUUGUAUUGACUUUAUCAGCUUUCUGCACUCUUUUCUUGUCUUUUUUAAUGCACUUUUCGUUUAACAAGUCAACAUCAAUUUCUUUUGUUGUAAAAGGGUCAUUGGAAGGUGGCUUUCUUUUCGGAGAAAGUGUUUAUAGCCUUCGGCCUCUGCAAUCGGAGAGAUUGAGGUCUGCAGCGUAGAUCCUUCGGGGUUAGAUACAUUUGUGCUAAGUUAUAGCCUUUCAUAGACAACUUGUUGACUAUGAUCAGUCAUGUAGCUUACUCGCUUAUGCUAUUUUACCUACGCUUAGGAUGUUGAUGUGAUACUGCGAGCA